rnacentral:lncRNA from 1 species
GGCAGUCAGGAGACUCAGAUCUUACUUCCAAGCUCAUGCUGUGGUAGUAUUGACAGAUCAACUACUCAGAUCAAUAUUACAGAGAGUUGAUACUUCAGAUCGGAUCGCCAAAUGGGCCAUUGGACUCAAUGAAUUUAAUAUCCACUAUCGACGUCGGACUGCAGUUAAAGGCCAAGUGUUAGUUGAUUUUGUUGUGGAAUGCACUAUUCUAGAUGAUGGGUCAAUUCUGGCAAGCCCUAAAAGUGAU